GGCCUCGUAGCUCAGUUGGCUACAGCGUUGGCUGUAAUAACGCUUUCCCCUUGCUGGUGUGGGUUUAAAUCCCACGGAGGCCA
rfam:Schistocephalus solidus strain NST_G2 genome assembly, scaffold: SSLN_scaffold0007720